UCUAUUUAUUUGCCCUCCUGGAAAAGAGAAUGUAUUUCGAGAUGUCAAAAUAUUUUGUUCUCCUUCAUUCGAUUGCAAGAGGAGCCUUAGGUGAGGAUCCUGCUUUUCAUGCUGGCUGGUAUUUGAACUUUGACUGGCAUUUUCCUGGUGAUUGUGAGGUGCAGGUGGAUGGAAUGCUGAACUGAAGGCACAGGUAGGUGCUAAGGGGUCCCUGAAUAAUAAGGUCAGCUAUACAUCCCAAAUGGUUCUCUGAGUUUUUGCUAAAGUACUUCAAUAGGGUCAGUUUCCUCUAACCUGAUUUGAUUUGGGGUUUUAUUUUUAUUUGGAGCAACCAAGGUGACACUAAAGGCAACAGGUACAUUAUCUAACUAAAAAGGAAAAGCAAAGGAGAGAACCAGGCAUCGCUGGGUUUAGGGUUUUUUAAUUUAAUAGAGGUGGUGUCCAUUCCUGAUAUUUACAUUUUGAGCUCACUAACGUCCUUCUUUUGCCCCUCCAUCUGCAGGUCACCACAGGAAUAUGUAAAGAGGAAAUGUUUUAUUUUAACAGAAUUGGACAAAGUACAUGAAACACACUCUUGCCACUGCAUAGCAUUCCUUAAGUCACAGAACCCAGCAUCACCUUCUUCCCCUCCUUCUGUCUUCUAUUUUAUUGAAAAAAGUCCAAAGUAUAAUAUUCUUCUAGGAAGCAUAAAUUGUAUUGCUGGAAGCAAAAUCCCGUAGGACUCAUGCCACUCUGCUUUCUGAAAAGCUGCAUUCAAGUGCAUCUAGUGUUGCCUCUUUCCCGCUGGGUGUCCAAAGUGCUGUGCUCAUGGUUGUUCACACGGAGCUGUGGAUGAUGCCAAAGCAACUGGAUAUUUUUGUGUUAGGGUUUUCCUGGUGUUUUGGCUUUUACGGGCAGUCCUGGGUCUCGGGGGAAGCUGUCAGACUCCUGCCCAACCAUCCUAAUUUUGGUCCCUCUUCUUGCCUUUCAGUAUGCAUUUGUAACUCCCAUGAAUGUAAAUAAAAGUUAUGUACACGCAUGGAGAGGGAAAUAGAUGCAUUUAUCUUGGCUCAAGACAAGCAGCAUCUCCCCAAGGAGCUACUUAGGAGGUUAUUGAGAAGCCAACAGCAAAGUGUGGUGGGCUGUACCUUCCUACAUGUGUGUUACAGAAAUUACUGGCGUGUUGCUGAUGUUUAUGGUGAACAAAUAGUUUAUUUCUGGGCUAAGAAAGAUUCCAGUGUAAAUACUCAACUGGCAGCUAGCUGGAAGUUUGCCACUUGAAGUUAAAAGGCCCAUGACCAAUGGUGUCAGAUUAACAUUUCCAAGUUGGACAAUGUACAAAUGGUGUUCUUGGACUGGAAUAGAAAUAGAUGAAAGUGGUCUACUGCAGUGCAAAUAACAAACUGGCAACCAGCUGGUCAUUGGAAAGAGAACAUGCUAUGGGAAUAUGCUUUCUGCAGAAAUACUUUAUUUUGGAGAUAAGCAUUAACAAUAGGAAGAUGAGGCUCGUUUAACAAGAACCAUAUGGUCUCAUCCUGCUUUUAUUUCACUCAGUGGCAAAGCCCUGAUUGUCCUUUGUGGGUGCAGGAUGGGGAUUGCUGAUAAAUAAACAAGUACAAUAAGUUGCCUGAUCCACUGUUGCCCUUCAAAAGGUGUAAACAGUUUAUUUUUAACGUGUUGAUAUUUCAGGAGACGAUAACUGAAAGGAAACAGAAUUAAAGAUGCUUGUUGAAAAACAACUGCUUCUGACAAAAUAAGCCAAGACAAUGGUCCAUUCAAAACGAAGUUAUCAAACUGUGUGAAACCAAUACAGCAACAUUUCCAAGCUGAUAAGUGGAGGAGUAGUGGAUGGGUUCAUUCAGAAAACAAAAAGUAGUUUGGAUUUUUGUGAGGAGAAAACAGCAGCCUGUAAAAAGUAGCUUACAUGCAGAUAGGGGAAUAAGGCAGAGGCUCUGCUGAGGUUUAAGUAACUACACAAUUCUGUUGAAGUCUGUUAGCAGUAUAAUUAAAGAUAACAGAAUUUAGCAUCGCAGUUUCGCUAUAGUCGCAAAAUUGAUUUGUGCUACAGGAAAAAAAGAGUAAAGAAAAGAAAAUACAAGCCAAGGGAGUUGCAGCCUCAGUGGAAAAUCCUGUUUUGGGAACUUUUCAAGGAUGUAAAACGUUGUCUUGAAUUGUUUACUUUUAUGGGUAGGAAGUAAAUAAGAAGUAAGAGUGGAAAUGGCAUUCUUACCACAGUUGGAAGGUUGCAGUAAAACCAAUACAACUAGCAUCACAGACUCCUUUUUAAAACUGAUUUUGGUUGUGUUUUGUUGUUUUUUUGGUUUUGGGUUUGUUUGUUUUUUUUUCUUUUACAGUGGCUAAGGUUUGUUAAUUUGAUCAUGAAAAGACAGCAAGAUGGAAACUAUUCAUUAUCAAGAAAAAUCAAGAUUUGAACAUGAAAAAAUAUAGAUCCUGUAUGCAGAGGCUCACAUCUGCCUUUGGCUUCACCACAGGUGAAAUCCCUCCUAGCAGCUGGCUUAUGAAAUAAUGCGAGGGGAGGCCUUAAUGAGCUGAAAGCACCCUCAGCUGGAGAUAAAUAUAUGCAAAUGAGAUGCACAAACAAAGGAGCCCGGACAGAGAAAUAUCUGCAAUUCCAGCAAAAUGCUGCCUGCAGCUAGAAGAUGAACAGCUUUGAUAAAAUGCCAGAUCUAUUUCCCGGAGAAGAAACCGGUCGGGUUUUAUGAAAGGCUGCUCCAUGACAGGAGCCUCCUUUGAGGAAGACCAUUAUGCAUUGUUAUCAGCAUGGCGUAAUUUGACUGUUGACAAAGUAUCUGUGGCAGUGAGAAUGAAAGCAGUUAGAAGUGUGGCGGGUUGUAAUCAAGAAGAUGCUUAGCUGUGCAACGCUGCAUCUUGAGCAGAUUUGAAUCAACAUUGCCUUGAGGGGACACACACACACACACACA